GCUAAGGUGGGGUUGAGUGAGGUAGUGACUAGGGAAUGGAGGAGCCGGUGAUGUCACUAGGUGGUAGGAGGUGAGCAAGUAUUAGGUUACUGUCUAGGUUGGAACAGGGGCAUGCUGGGAAGAAGGGUUUGUUCUUUGGUGGGAGCAACCAUCUUGGCAUGA